GUCCCAGUAGUAUAAAUAUUACUCUG
rnacentral:tRNA from 1 species